GAUGAACGCUAGCUACAGGCUUAACACAUGCAAGUCGAGGGACCGGCGCACGGGUGAGUAACACGUAUCCAACCUGCCCUUUACUCGGGGAUAGCCUUUCGAAAGAAAGAUUAAUACCCGAUAUAAAGGAUGGGGAUGCGUUCCAUUAGGUUGUUGGUGAGGUAACGGCCCACCAAGCCUUCGAUGGAUAGGGGGUCUGGUAGGAAGGGCCCCCACAGUGGAGCUGAGACACGGUCCAAACUACGACGGGAGGCAGCAGUGAGGAAUAUUAGUCAAUGGGCGCUAGCCUGAACCAGCCAAGUAGCGGGAAGGAUGAAGGCUGAUGGGUCGUAAACUUCUUUUAUAUAAGAAUAUGUAUUAUAUGAAUAAGGAUCGGCUAACUCCGUGCCAGCAGCCGCGGUAAUUC
rnacentral:rRNA from 1 species